CGGCGAACUCUUGACGUCGACGAAUCGCGUUCAAUUUUUAUAAUAUUACACGAGUAAAGUAGGUUAAGUGUAGACAAUGUUUUUGUUUUUUUUUUUUUUUUUUUUUAUCGAUACGAAUUUAAUAUUUUAUACCGCAGAGCUACGUGCACGCUGCUUACUACAAUAUAAUACCUUUUUUAUUUAUUUAUUUUUUUUUUUUUUUUAUUUAAUUAAAAUACGUCGUAAAACAUAAUAUUAUCAUUAUUUUUUAUUGUGGUCGUCGGCUACGUUAUUAAUAAUAAGAUACGCGGUAAUAAUAUGCGUGAUGUGAUUAAUACACGGGUAUAUUAUAAUAAUAGCAUUACGUACGGUUACGGUUAAAGCGCUCUGUAUAUUUACUGUGUGCAGUACGUACAUUGUACACGAGCGCGGUUUUUAAGCCGUACAAAACACUCUGUACGCGAAUCCGUAAUACGAUGUAAAAUAUUACGAUAAUAUUAUCGUCCGUCGUAAUAAUAAUAAUCGUACCGAUCGAACGGAUUCAAUUACAUACGGGUACAUCUCUGGUGUCCCCGGAAAAAAAAAAAAAAAAAAAUCGAUUUUUGAUUUUUUUUUUUUUUUUACUAUCUUAUGCAAUUGAAGACCUGGCGGUAACCCAACCGGACACGUUCGUAUUUUGGCGACCAUCGGUUUUUCUACUCGUAUUGUUAACAGGAAUACUACGUACGUCGAUUGGCGCAACAACUAUCGGACCGAUCCAAUCGUUAAAUACGAUGAUACGGCGGUUGCACCGAAUGUCGGUCGUGCCUACUGCGUAUUCUGAUUUACGAUCGCGUCUUGCGUUUUAUUUGCGUCAAACACGCUCAUAAAAAGGAAAAUAUGAAAUAUGUUUUUUAACGCGUCUAUUACGAGGUUUCGACAAACACGUCGUUUAAACGACAAUGCAAUAUUAAUUACGUUCUUUUUACAUCCGAUUGUAUGAGUAGAAAAACAAUUUUACGGCGCAGGUCUCCGAGUACAUUUUUCUUUCCGCUAAUUAUUUACGAAACAGUGUUUUUCG